GCGGGAGUAGCUCAGUUGGUAGAGCACGACCUUGCCAAGGUCGGGGUCGCGAGUUCGAGUCUCGUUUCCCGCUC
rnacentral:tRNA from 5 species